CAAUAGCGUAUAUUUAAGUUGUUGCAGUUAAAAAGCUCGUAGUUGGAUUUCGGGUGGGACGCAGCGGUCUCGCAUUGCGUUUGUACUGCUGCAGCCCUCCUUCUUGCCGGGGGCGGCCUCUCGGACUUCACUGUCUGGGGGUCAGAAUCGGCGAUGUUACUUUGAGUAAAUUAGAGUGUUCAAAGCAAGCUUACGCUCUGAAUAUAAUAGCAUGGGAUAACACGACAGGACUCUGGCCUAUCGUGUUGGUCUAUAGGACCAGAGCAAUGAUUAAGAGGGACAGUCGGGGGCAUUCGUAUUCCGUUGUCAGAGGUGAAAUUCUUGGAUUUACGGAAGACGAACAUCUGCGAAAGCAUUUGCCAAGGAUGUUUNCAUUG
rnacentral:rRNA from 1 species